rnacentral:lncRNA from 1 species
CUUCUGUGAAAAGAAAGCUAAAUUUGCAAGAGUGAACCAGGAAUCUACUGACUUGAGCUCAAACAAGGGAACUGCAUGGACAGCAGAGGUGGGAAUGAGCUGGUGGUUGACAAGAUACUUUGGCCAGAGGUAGAAAAUGGUUUCAUUCAGCUUUCAGGCGAUGGCCGCUGAGGUUGCUCAAAGUAUCUUUGGUCAGCGUCCUUCCUUAUGCACUAGGAGGGAACCCAUGGAGCAUAUGAAUGAAAUGGAAAAUCACUGCAGCAGUGGAUAUGCCAUAACCACACAGCAAAAAACUGUUACCUUCAGCUCAACCAAAAGUAAUGCCUUUGUUCUGCAACAGUCAGGAAAAAAGCCACAACUCCCCCCAAAUCCCAGCAAAGGGAACCUGGAAAGAGAGAGCAAGGUACUAGCUGUGCUCCUGCAGCUUGUAUGUGGUUGGGAAUAUGGAGUCCUCCUGUUCCACACAGUGCUCUGUGAGGGAGGCUGCUGAGUGGUGCUUACCUCACAGGGGUGUGUGAGAAAAUUAAUGAAGGGAAAGGAGAGGUCAGAGAAAUUAAUUGGCAGGAUGAAAAAGAAAAUGAGAAGGGGGGAGAACUGUCUCAUGUGUGUGGAAAGGCUGAAAAUGAUAGGGAUGCGCCAGGCAAUGAUUGCAAGGUGCUGCCUAUGUUUUGCAAAUAUUUGAGGGAACAAACAGCACUGGGGAAGAGAAAUUAGUACAUCAAGAUUUAUUGUGGCAAACAGGAAUAUGCUCUGUCAGAAAAACUGUUGAAGGACAUAAUAGUAAAAUAAACCUUAUAUCAGCAAGAUGUGGCA